ACCAAAAUAACGAUUAUCGUUAUUUCUUAAUUGGCCCUGAAAUAACGAAUAGCAUAAUUUCAGUGCAUGAGACCUUCGGGCUCGAAGCUUGGGAACUAGUAUUCAGGGAAAGAUAAAAUGGCGGCUUACGGCGGCGAAGGAAAUCUCAGUAGUUUAAUAUUUUAGCGUGAAAAGGCUUGGGUGUUGUGAUCUGGUUCUCAAGUAAAAAAAAUCACGGUCUGCAAUGGCCCUACCACCUUUUGAACAACAAGAAAACAUUGAAACGGUGGUAAAAAGGAGCAAGUUUCGAAGUCUAACGAAAGAUGGGUGGUCAUUAUCCAUUAUUUUUGGAAGUCGAUGCUGAUGAGAAAGAAAAAAUGUUUACGAUUAUUUCUUCUCUCGAACAUUGUACUAUUUAGGUACCAAAUAAUCUUGAUACUGAAGACCAUUGCAUCCUAUUAUGAGAAAUUUACCCCCUGAUUGCUUUUUCAACAUGUAUGAUGUAAUAUACCUUGUGAUUUGUGGGAUUUUCACAUGUAAACUAGAAAUACCUGUAGAGGGUAAUGAUGUACUUAAUGCAAAGUGUUUUGGUACAAAGUCUGCUUUACUGUAAUCUACCUGAAGGUGCUUUUUAUAUGCUAGUAACACUUGCACAGCCCAGUUAAAAUGUUCUUUAGUAGUAGACAAGCUGGCUGUUGUAAUUAUAGGCAGCAGAGGCCAAACCUCAUCCUGAAAAGCAGUCUGAAAGGUGUGAAGUCAGUGGAAGAUACUUCAUCAUAGGCGGGCAAAUUGCAGGCUGUCAGCCCAUUUUGAGUGAGUAGUUAAACUCAAGAUCGGCUAUUUUAACUAAUUUUAUUGAGAGCCAAAUCCUGCAAGGCUUAUAUUCUGUAUUAAUUUGAAGUGUUACUUUUAUGUUUCUUAUUUUGCAGUAAGUGGGCUUGUUGUGGCCAUUUUUCUCUCAAACAUUUUUUCAGCCUAGUCAAAAUGUUUUUUAGAAGUAGGCAAGCUGGCUAUAGUAAUAGAAGGUAGAGGCCAAACCUUGUCCAGACUAGACGCCUAACAAAUGUUCUGUGUGGACAGCCAAAUCCCUGGUUACCGGCAAAUUUUGACUAGGCUAUUUGUUAUUUAGCUACUAAGUAAUCUUAUUAUUAAAGAUUACUGCAUUCCUUCUUAAUAAUUUGCUGCCAAUUGUAUGCUGUAUAUAGCUUAUGAUUUGUGUGAUUUUCAAGAGUAAAUUAGAAAUACCUGAAGAUGGUAAUGAUGUACUAGAUAACGUACUUGAUGCAAAGCAAUUUUGGCACAAAGUGUAUGGCUUGUUCUCUGGUGAUUUUAACAUGCUAAUAAGAUUUGUUAUUCAAAUAAUAUACAUCAACUGGAAUGGGAAUAUUGAAAGAAAAAUAAUAAUAUUUAACCAUAACAAGUUUUGGUUUUAUGUCCAAAUUAAGCACUUAGUUGAAGAUCACUGCACUGAUCCGGCCCCGAAGGCCAAAAAAGUGCUGUCUGCUGUUAGUUUAAUUUUUGUCAUAUCUAUUGAUUUAUUUCAUUUAUCAAUGUUUCUUUGAGUUAUAAUUCAUUGACCUCUUUCAAUAGUGCAGGUUCGCUCAUGUAACCUAAUCCCACAUGUAUGUAUGUACAAUCUCAGUUGAAAUUUUGAGUGGCAGGCAAGCUGGCAAUAGUAAUAGGCAGCAGAGGCCAAAUCUUGUCCUGAAUAGCCCUAACCCUAAGCAAAAACCUCUGUGAUAACUUGGUAGUCUAAGAUGUAAAACAUUUUAAUAAUAAGGUAAAGCUUGAUCAUUCUUAAGAGUUUGCAUCUGUUCUAAAAGUUUUGGGGAGAGUUAGGGGAGCAUUAUUUAUACAAAUGUAUUUAAAAAGUAACAAAAAAAUAAAAAGAACUAGGGCAAAAUCCCAAUUUGCUUUAAAAGUUUAUUUUAUUAAGAGCAUAAUUCUGGAUAUAGCUUGGGAUUUGUGUGAUUUUCACAAAUUGUUAGGUUGUUAUGUAAACUUAAUUUACAGGAACCUUGUUAAUUUUCAGCUUCAAGAACAAGUACAUAAUUGCAGGAAAAGCUUGAAGCUUGAAAAAUUGACUGAUGAAACUGGAACAGAUGUCAUGAGAUUUGUACAAUAGGUGGGCAUGGGAGGGACCAAGAAUUAAAGAAUUCAUUGAUUCUCUUACACCUUUUGUCUGCAUAGUGUGCUUCUGUAGAGCUUAGUUAUUGCUGUAGAAAACUUUUUUGGAGGGCCCCUGAGAUCACUCACUUUUGAGCUGGUUACCCCUAGGGAAGAGGAUAUCUGUACUUAUUAUCUCCCUGGGGGGGGGGGGUGAAGGGUUAAAGACUGAUUCUUCUCCAGUAGCCACAAGUGCCCCUGCAUAUGGAAAUUUUGCACACUAUUAAAGGGCUAGUACCCUCAUUUCAUACUUGAAUUUCUAAUUUAGUGUAAGUUAUGAAAAAUAAUGAAUGUAAAUUCAUCUUGGUUGUACAGGUUAUAUCCAGCAGUCCUUAAAA
rnacentral:lncRNA from 1 species